rnacentral:rRNA from 1 species
UACAGAGGUCUCAAGCGUUGUUCGGAUUCAUUGGGCGUAAAGGGUGCGUAGGCGGCGGGGCAAGUCUGAUGUGAAAUCCCGGGGCUCAACCCCGGAACUGCAUUGGAUACUGCUCUGCUUGAGCACUGGAGAGGAGACUGGAAUUUACGGUGUAGCAGUGAAAUGCGUAGAUAUCGUAAGGAAGACCAGUGGCGAAGGCGAGUCUCUGGACAGUUGCUGACGCUGAGCACGAAGGCCAGGGGAGCAAACGGG